GUGCUACGAUGAUGCUCGUACGUCUCCCUCUUAGGUACUAUGCCUUAUUCUGUGUCACCGCGUGUUUGAUCUGUCUCCACUUCUCAUAUGUCAUCUCUUUACUCACACCCUGCUAUUGCGCGUCUCAAAUACUUAUAUGCGUCUGUGUUCUUACGGUUGGCUUCACGUCUGCUAUUUCUGCUGAUAGUCGUCGCUGGGCCUCUGUGACUCCUCCUCUUGUCUCGCUGUCUCACCUUUCCAAUUUUUAUUCUUUUUUUUUAAAUUAAAAAGGUCUGUUUUUUUAAAAAACCGGGGGCGUUUAGAAUUCCUUUUUGUUGAGGAGGGGGGGUUCCCUUUCUUAAAAACCGGGGCCCCUUUGCAUUUUCCAUAUAGCCGAAGGAAAAAGAAAAACCAACAGGGGAUUUGCCCCCAGAUAACGGGGAAGUGAAGCGGGCCAACAGCUCAAAUUUUGAAAUUCUGGCCUCCCGCCCCGAGUUUGUACUUUUGUAGGAGGAUGGCUUUUGGGGGGCGCGGCCCCCGCUGAGUCCCCUGGAAACGGGGGCGCCCGCAAAAGAGGGUGAGAGCCCCGUAAUAGCGGCACGGCCAAGGCCUGUGUAAAGCUCCUUCGACGAGGUCGAGUAGUUUGGGAAUGCUGCUCCAAAUGGGAAGGUAUAUGCCUUUCUAAAGCUAAAUACCGGCUAGAAGACCGAAUAGCGCACAAGUAGAGUGAUCGAAAGAUGAAAAGCACUUUGAAAAGAGGGUUAAACAGCACGUGAAAUUGUUGAAAGGGAAGCGCCUCGUGACCAGACUUGGGCCGGUUCGAUCAUCCCGCGUUUUCGCUGGUGCACCUCGUUCCUCGGCCCGGGGCCAGCAUCGGUUCUUCGCCCGGGGGAUAAAAGCGCCCCCGGGAACGGUAGCUCCCCCCCGGGGAGUGUUUAUAGCCCCGGCGGCACAAAUGCCUCUGGCGGGGGGACCGAGGGUACGCCCCUCCGUUAGAGAAUGGGCUGGGCGUUAAUGGGUUACCAGCCGACCCGUCUUGAAAAACGGGACCACACUCGUUUUAUUAAUUAAGCGGGAGGAAAAAGGGUCCCCCUUUUUUUAAAAAAA
rnacentral:rRNA from 1 species